rnacentral:rRNA from 1 species
AUUGAACGCUGGCGGCAUGCCUUACACAUGCAAGUCGAACGGCAGCACGGAAGCAAUCCUGGUGGCGAGUGGCGAACGGGUGAGUAAUAUAUCGGAACGUGCCCAGUCGUGGGGGAUAACGUAGCGAAAGCUACGCUAAUACCGCAUACGAUCUAUGGAUGAAAGCGGGGGAUCGCAAGACCUCGCGCGAUUGGAGCGGCCGAUAUCAGAUUAGGUAGUUGGUGGGGUAAAAGCCUACCAAGCCUUCGAUCUGUAGCUGGUCUGAGAGGACGACCAGCCACACUGGAACUGAGACACGGUCCAGACUCCUACGGGAGGCAGCAGUGGGGAAUUUUGGACAAUGGGCGCAAGCCUGAUCCAGCAAUGCCGCGUGCAGGAUGAAGGCC